rnacentral:rRNA from 1 species
GAUGAACGCUGGCGGCGUGCCUAAUACAUGCAAGUCGAGCGAACGGACGAGAAGCUUGCUUCUCUGAUGUUAGCGGCGGACGGGUGAGUAACACGUGGAUAACCUACCUAUAAGACUGGGUUAACUUCGUGAAACCGGAGCUAAUACCGGAUGAUAUUUUGAACCGCAUGGUUCAAAAGUGAAAGACGGUCUUGCUGUCACUUAUAGAUGGAUCCGCGCUGCAUUAGCUAGUUGGUAAGGUAACGGCUUACCAAGGCAACGAUGCAUAGCCGACCUGAGAGGGUGAUCGGCCACACUGGAACUGAGACACGGUCCAGACUCCUACGGGAGGCAGCAGUAGGGAAUCUUCCGCAAUGGGCGAAAGCCUGACGGAGCAACGCCGCGUGAGUGAUGAAGGUCUUCGGAUCGUAAAACUCUGUUAUUAGGGAAGAACAUAUGUGUAAGUAACUGUGCACAUCUUGACGGUACCUAAUCAGAAAGCCACGGCUAACUACGUG